UGGGGAAUCUUCCGCAAUGGGUGAAAGCCUGACGGAGCAACGCCGCGUGAGGGAUGAAGGCCUCUGGGCUGUAAACCUCUUUUAUCAAGGAAGAAGAUCUGACGGUACUUGAUGAAUAAGCCACGGCUAAUUCCGUGCCAGCAGCCGCGGUAAUACGGGAGUGGCAAGCGUUAUCCGGAAUUAUUGGGCGUAAAGCGUCCGCAGGCGGCCCUUCAAGUCUGCUGUUAAAAAGUGGAGCUUAACUCCAUCAUGGCAGUGGAAACUGUUGGGCUUGAGUGUGGUAGGGGCAGAGGGAAUUCCCGGUGUAGCGGUGAAACGCGUAGAUAUCGGGAAGAACACCAGUGGCGAAGGCGCUCUGCUGGGCCAUCACUGACGCUCAUGGACGAAAGCCAGGGGAGCGAAAGGGAUUAGAUACCCCUGUAGU
rnacentral:rRNA from 1 species